rnacentral:rRNA from 1 species
AUGGAGCCAUCGCCGGAGCGUUCGCCGCCGACCACCACCGCCACCGCCGCUGGAGGAGGACACGAGCCCUCCAACUCCUCCUCUCUCUUCCCCCUCUUCCCGCUCUCUGCCCCCACCGAGGUUUCCCAGUGUCUCCCGAACCCUAGCUUCUCCUUCGACGCCUCCUCCCUCAACAUCCCACCCACUGCCUCCUCGUCCCUCCCGCCGCUGAGCCCCUCUUCGGACGAGGAGGAGGCGGCCCCGAAGCCCGCUCCCGCGAAGUACAACCUGCUGCCGUCCUCGCCGUCCGACGAGGAGAGGGGGUCGAGGCGGGACGACAGGAAGAGGAGGAAGCGGAGGAGGGAGCAGGAGCGGUAUGAGGGGGCCGCCUCUUCGCGGAAGCCGGGGGUUCGUGCCUGGGCUGGGUCGGAGACCAAGCUGGUCAAGGAUUACUACGUCGACGCCAAGGGCGACCAGGAUAACUUGGCAUUUGGAUCAAUCUACAGAAUGGACAUUGCACGUUACAAGCCUCAAAACGCACUGGAGACACGUGGGCUUAAUCGACGUUUCUAUAAUUAUGGACAUGCUUCAUCGCAGAUGGAUCUAGAUUCAGAUUUGGAUGGACUGGAUAACAAAGUAAAAGUGGGAGGGCGUUACUUUUCAGCAAAACAUGCCGUUUUAGAAAGAAACAAGGGUUUCAAGCACCUGAAAGUGUUGAAAAGUGAUAUGAUUGCAAUUCUCCCUGAAGAUUUUAUCCCUGUAGAGACAUCAUCCCUUCCUGUGAAAAGCACAACCGUGCAACAGGAGCUUGAGGAAUCUUGGGAAGAUGAAAUACUUCGGAGGACAAAAGAAUUCAAUAAGAUGACACGAGAAUGUCCUCAUGAUGAAAAAAUCUGGUUGGCCUUCGCUCAGUUUCAGGACAAAGUUGCCAGUAGUCAGCCACAAAAAGCAGCACGUUUGCAAACAACUGAAAGAAAAAUUAGUAUAUUGGAGAAGGCUGUGGAGCUCAAUCCAGAUAACGAGGAAUUGUUGCUUUGCCUUCUGAAGUCAUAUGGUGAGAGGGAUAGCUCUGAGAGUCUCUUUGGUAAAUGGGAGAAAAUACUUAUGGAACACCCUGACAGUUGUAAGUUGUGGAAACAGUAUCUACUUCUGUGCCAAGGGGAAUUCUCCAGAUUCAAAGUAUCUGAUACACGGAAGUCUUACUCAUAUGCAGUACAGGCUCUAUCUGCAGCUUGCACAAAGCUAUGUAGGCAGGAUUGUGAAAAUGCUGAUCUCAAAGCACAUCCUUCCUUAGUUCAGGUUGAACUUGGUUUAGUGGAUAUAUUUGUGAAUCUUUGCCGGUUUGAAUGGCAAACAGGACAUCGAGAAUUAGCAACUGGGUUAUUUCAAGCUCAAAUUGAGUUUAGCCUAUUCUCGCCUCCCCUUUCCCUGUCCUCAAGCAGUAAGCAAAGACUCUUUGAGCACUUCUGGAAUAGUGGUGGUGCCAGAAUUGGAGAAGAUGGGGCUCUUGGAUGGUCUACAUGGUUAGCAAAGGAUGAGGAGAGUCGACAAAACAUGGUUAUGCAAGAAAAUCCUCAAGAGCCUGAAGGGGGAGGCUGGAGUGGUUGGUUUAAUCCCUCUGUAGCAAAUGCUGAAACGAAUGAUGUGUCUAACCAAUCAAUAGAAGAAUUGGCUGCUGAUGGAAUUGAUCCAGAAGACCCUGAUACUGAGGACACACCUGCACAAGAUGAUGUUGAAUCUUUACUAAAAAAGCUCGGCAUUGAUGUAGAGACUGAGUACAGUAGUGAAGUUAAGGAUGCAAAAACAUGGAAUAGAUGGUCCACAAUGGAGCUGUCGAGGGAGAAUGAACAAUGGAUGCCCCUUCGUGAAAAUUCUGGAGCAGGACCAAAUCAUUCUAAUGAUGCCUCAUCUGGAGAAGUCAAUGAUCAGCUUUCCAGAGUAAUCUUGUUUGAGGACGUAACUGAGUUUCUGUUCUCUUUAUCGUCAGAAGAGGCUCGUUUUUCCUUGAUAUGCCAAUUUAUUGAUUUCUAUGGUGGCAAAAUUUCUAGAUGGACAUCCAGCAACAGUUCAAGUUGGCUUGAUAGAAUUAUGAGCCUUGAGAUGAUUUCAAAUGAUAUUUCGGAAGAUCUUAUCGCCAUAUCUGACCUUGCAAACAAGACACAAAAUUCAAGUCAUUGUAGUUUGGAGUCUUUAUUAGGAAGUAUGCAUGAUCUUUCUCAAAGACCUGGCCUGGUGAAAUUUCUGAAAAAUGCAAUAUUGCUUUCCCUUGAUAUAUUCCCUCGUAAUCAUAUCUUGGAGGAAGCUGUCCUUGUUACCACCCAAAUGUAUACGGCACAAGAGAACACUUUGUCUACUCCAGCUAAUGCAUCGCGGGCUUUGGCCAAAAACCUGCUGAAGAAAGACAGACAGGAUCUUCUGCUUUGUGGUAUAUAUGGCCGAAUUGAGGCUAGGCAUGGGAACAUUGACCAAGCAAGGAAGAUAUUUGACAUGGCACUGUUAUCUACAGAAGGAGCUACACAGGAUCUCGUCAGGAAGGUUCCUAUUCUUUAUUUUUGGUAUGCUGAGAUGGAAAUAUCAAUAUCUACUUCUAGAAACAAUUCUGACUCGGCACAUCGUGCAAUAUACAUUCUUUCCUGCUUGGGUAGCAAUAUCAAGUAUUCUUCUUUUGGCGGUCCUAUAUCACGCCCGCUGGUAUUAAGGGCUCGUCAAGGAUUUAAAGAGCAGAUUAGAAGCCUGCGGUCUGCAUUUGCAAGUGGUUGUUUGAGAGAAGAAUCAGUUGCUCUGAUUUGCUGUGCUUCCUUGUUCGAGAGUAUGACUUCUGGUUAUUCUUCUGGUCUUGAAGUGAUAGAGGAGGCCUGUCCAUUUUCAGAGAGCCAUACCUUGGAAUUUGAAGAGUUGUGGAUGUAUUACAUCAAACUGCUUCAGAAGAAUCUGAACCAGUUGAGUCUCUCAAGGGUUUGGCCGAGCAUAUUGAAAGGAGUACAAACAUAUCCGUACAAUCCAAAAUCAUAUGCAUCCAUGUUAACUCUGAGCUGUCUUUACAGUGUUCCCAACAAUCUGCGUCUUACACUUGACAAAUGCAGUCAAAGGGACCCUUCCAUAGUUGCCUUGCUGUUCGCUUUGUCCUUUGAAUGGAGUAAAGCAGGAUCUUACAAUAGAAUCCACAGUCUGUUUGAGAGAGCUCUAGCUGAUGAUAAGUUACAGAAGUCUGUUCUGUUGUGGCGCUGUUAUCUAGCUUAUGAGGCAGAGAUAGCCUGUAAUACUUCUGCGGCACGACGUGUGUUCUUCAGAGCUAUACAUGCUUGCCCAUGGUCUAAACGAUUAUGGCUUGAUGGGUUCCAAAAAUUGAGCUCAGUUCUGACUAUGAAAGAGUUAUCAGAUCUCCAGGAAGUUAUGCAUGGCAAGGAAUUGUUCAUUCGCACUGAUAUCUAUGAGAUACUGUUACAAGAUGAAGAUGACAUAUGA